UUAGUAUGAUCAGAUAGAGUUCAACAAGUUGUUUCCAAACAUAAACAAGAUGACAGAAAGGAACAAAUGUCCCUUAUUGAUAAUAAUAGAAAAUGAGACCAAAGUUAUAGGCAAAGCUCAUACAAAAGUUCUAGGAUAGAACUUCCACCAGAGAAGAAAAGCACUUCUUUCGCAGCAGAAAUAGAAGCACCACGCUGCCUCUCACUCUUCAGGAUGCAAUUACCAGCACACCUUCUGAAGCUUUUCUUCACACACAGGCCAGGCAAUUCUGUUUCUUCAAAUAUGGAAGGAAAGCAUGAAAACAAUGAUGAGCACUUUAGCAUGGCAUAAUUAAAAGCAAAAGAGUUUACAGUGCUGAAACCUGAAAGAUAACAAGUAGUUAUAAUAACAAUGGAGAACUAUUAUCAUGUGCCAUUCUAAUUGAAAACAAAGUCAUUGUUUAAAAAAUAAAAUAAAAUACCUACAUACAGUGUGUAUUUCAUUAGAAAUAAAUAGCUAGUCACAGUACAACAUGUUGAUAAGGCAAGCAAUAGCAAUUUUCUCUCUAACAUGUUGAUAAUAAACUUGUGUAAGAGCAAAAUCUUCAUCAUGAAAUAGGAAAGAAAAACAUGCACAGGCUCAAGGAUGCUGACUGUAAAAUAGGAUAUCAGGAAACAAAAUUCACAUAGGUAACGACAAGCUUCAGGGUACAGACAAAACAUUCAUUUAAGUCUGCAGCAACAUUUCAGUAACACUAGACGCUCUCUUUCAGUAUAUAUAGCUUGAUGUUCGUAGUCAAAAGGAUUCAUGAUUUAUGAUAACAUGAUGCAACUAAGCAGAAAUGCAAUGACUCUAAGCCUGCUAAAUCAGAGCAGUGUAGCAAGAAGCAAAACAGAGAAAAAAGGGGCACUACUAAAUUACGUAAAUCAAACUAUGAAGCAUCAAACAAGUUAUGUGAUAAAUAUGAAGGAAAUGCAUAGCUAGCUAGGCAGGGUGCAAGAGAACUAUGUAUACCAUUUCAUACUGUCCUUGACGACAAUGAUGGUGGGAAGUUGGUGUAUAUGGGCCCACAUGAGACAUUUCUUUUCUCA
rnacentral:lncRNA from 1 species